rnacentral:rRNA from 1 species
UGGCGACCGGCGCACGGGUGAGUAACACGUAUCCAACCUGCCGAUAACUCGGGGAUAGCCUUUCGAAAGAAAUAUUAAUACCCGAUGGUAUAAUCAGACCGCAUGGUCUUGUUAUUAAAGAAUUUCGGUUAUCGAUGGGGAUGCGUUCCAUUAGGCAGUUGGUGAGGUAACGGCUCACCAAACCUUCGAUGGAUAGGGGUUCUGAGAGGAAGGUCCCCCACAUUGGAACUGAGACACGGUCCAA